rnacentral:misc_RNA from 1 species
AAGUCGUAACAAGGUUUCCGUAGGUUAACACGUAUCCAACGUUAAACACCCUGUGAACUUUCAACCUCUGUCCAUCAGGCUACAAUCGAGCUAGGAGCAGUGGCAUGGUUUCCCUAAGCAGUGCAGAAGGAUCCACUGAGUAAGGAUAACGCCUCACGGUUGCCAGAGGUCGAUCACCGGCCGGCAGACAUGUCACAGGGCUAUAUGCCCCCUCAUUCACACCUUGCCCUAUCUGGCCCCACGGAAACGUUGGGGCACAAACCGAACAACUGUUAACAAUGGAUAUCUUGGUUCUC